GGGAUCUUAAAGCAAUAAAGAUAUUUCUUCUUGUAAAACCCAAAACCCUACUUCCUUUCUUCCACUCUCAUUCCCCUGUUUGUUAUCUCUUACUUUCUUUAAAUUCCUCUUUACUCUGUUCUUUCUUCACCAUAACACUCUUCAGUUCCCUUCCGUUUCAAUUCAGUCACUCACACUGGAAACUCACUGAAUUCAACCUACCUUCAUCAUUUGAGGAACAACCACUGUUGCAUUUCUGCUUCACACUAUCUACCUAGAGAAGUGGAACUUAGGAGGAAGAUGCCUCAACGGGCCCAAUCCCUACAAUUAUACUGUACAUGAUUUUUGUGGGAACUGACCAAAGAAAUUCAUGAUCUUCCAAAUGAAUCAAAGAGAAGCCAAAGCGAGAAAGGUUUCAAAGCAAGCUAGUUCAGUCUCAGCAGAUUGCUGUGGGGAGAUGGCUGCUCCGAUUAAAACUCAUGGUAUUGGAAAAGGUCUGAUGACAGUUUGGCAGGCAACGAAUCCUGAUGCUGGGAAUUUUCCCGCCGGAACCAUUUUUGGUGGCCGAAAAUUUAUGGAUGUAUCUCCAGUUUCAACUUCUUCAUCUGAACAUUCAUUGCGGCAAGGGAAACGACCACCACGACAAGCUAAAGUGAAGGGAAGAGUGGGAUCCAAAGUACAGGGAAAGAGAAAGCCAUUAAUUAAAACCAGACGGGUGGAAUGUAAUGAAGAAAAGAGUCAAAAGCAAUUAUGCUAUGAAAAAUGUGAACUGGCUUGGGAAGGAAUUAAAUCUCAAGAAUGCAUAGACCAAUUUGCUGUACUGGUUGAUGAUGAAGAGUUGGAGCUAAGAGAGUUGCAAGCAAGAAAACAUAUUAUCACUUCUUGUGAUCACUUCAUGACCAAUGGUGUUAAUAGUUGCUCGCUUUGUAAAGAUAUGCUGGGCAAGUUUCCUCCAAAUUCUGUGAAGAUGAAACAACCAUUUGGCAUGCAACCUUGGGAUUCAUCUCGAGACAUCGGCAAAAAACUAUUCAAGGUCUUCAAUUUUCUUUGUACAUACGCCAUAACAUUAGGCGUAUGCUCCUUCACCCUUGAUGAGUUUGCUGAAUCAUUUCAUGACAAGGAUUCAUUCUUACUUGGAAAGGUUCACGUGGCCCUUCUCAAACUACUAUUUUGUGAUAUUGAGGCAGAACUUAGCAAUGCAUAUUUGACUCCUCUGAGCAAGUCUUGCAAAUUUCUUGCAUUAGUUCAUUCGCUUGGAAGUAAGGAUUUUGCUCUUGAGGUAUGGAAGAAAUCAUUGAACCCUUUAACAUGGACCGAAAUACUACGUCAAGUGUUGGUUGCAGCUGGUUUUUGUUCUAAGCAAGAUGCAUUGCAGAAGGAAACCCUUUCUAAGGAAAUGGACCUUGUGUCUAAAUAUGGUCUGCAACGUGGGACUUUGAAGGGUGAAUUAUUUAUAAUUUUAUCAGAGCAAGGAAACAAUGGGAUGAAGGUUUCUGAUUUGAUAAGGGAGUCCAAGAUUGUGGAUCUGAACGUUGCCGGCACUACUGAAGAACUGGAGCUUCAAAUAUGUUCCACUUUGUCCAGUGAUAUAACUUUAUUUGAAAAGAUAUCCCCAUCUGCAUAUCGUCUCCGGCCUAGUCCUGCUACAAUGGAUGUUGAUGAAUUUCAGUCGGACACUGAUUUUGGUAGUGUAGAUGAUAUAGCAGCUAGUGCGUCAAUAUGCAGCAGUAGUUAUGAUUCUGAAUGUGAUUCAGAGAAAUUGUGUGCUCAAAGAUUUAAGAUUCAGAAAUCCAAAAAUGAAAACCCAACUGUUUCCACAGAGAUUGACGUAAGUCAUCCAGGUGAAGCGUGGCUGUUAGGACUGAUGGAAGAUGAAUAUUCAGGUUUAAGCAUUGAAGAGAAGUUGAAUGCAUUGGUGGCUUUAAUUGAUCUUCUUUCUUACGGAUCAAGUAUUAGGCCAAAGGGUACGUCAACAUCUUGUGGCAUUGUUGAUUAUGCUUCCAACAUUCAACAUUAUGGUUCUGGAGCAAAAAUAAAGAAGUCUUCUGUCAGGGGACACAACCUGUCAAGGUCAUUCUUGACUAGCUCAGGACAAUUGCAUAGUGCAAGUAUCAGAUAUGCUUCAUUGGAAAACCAUCCUAUUGAUUCAGCCACAGCAAUCUCCAAGUUCCAAGAGAAUUCAGGAAGUCAAGUAAAGGGCGCAGACAAGAUGAAAAAUGCUAUUUACUUGCAUUCAAUGCAAUCUAUCUUUUUAGGUUCUGAUCGUAGGUAUAAUAGAUAUUGGCUUUUUCUUGGUCCUUGUGAUGCGUCUGAUCCUGGUCAUAGGAGGGUUUAUUUUGAAUCUUCGGAGGAUGGGCAUUGGGAAGUGAUUGAUACAAAAGAGGCUUUGUGUGCCUUGUUAUCUGUGUUGGAUGAUAGAGGUAAGCGGGAAGCUUUCCUCAUUGAAUCUCUGGAGAAGCGUGUCGUAUUUCUUUGUGAAGCCAUGUCAAAUAAGAGAACUAGGAAUCUUGUAAGCAGGAGCUUUACGCAAUCUGAACAAUCUGAUAUGGACAGGAUAAGAGAAAGCAGCUAUUCUCCUGUGUCUGAUGUUGAUAAUAGCCUAUACCAAGCUGAGUCUACUGGUGAUACUUUGCCUUUAAGUAGUGCUAUAGUUAUUGAAGUUAAAAGAAAGGGAGAAGAAGAAAAGCAAAGCUGGAAUCGUCUCCAGGAAUUUGAUUCAUGGGUAUGGAAUUUCUUCUAUCAUGCACUUUAUGCCGUAAGGCAUGGUAGAAGGUCUUAUCUUGAUUCACUUGCUAGAUGUGAACGUUGCCAUGAUUUGUAUUGGAGAGAUGAGAAACAUUGUAAAGUUUGCCAUAUUACCUUUGAGCUUGACUUGAACCUGGAGGAAAGAUAUACCAUUCAUAGGGCAACUUGUAGAGAAAAAGAGGAUGAUGAUGUAUUUCCAAAGCAUAAGGUUUUAUCAUCACAGUUUCAAGCAUUGAAAGCUGGAGUUCAUGCAAUCGAGUCUAUAAUGCCUGAAGGUGCUAUGAUUGGAGCUUGGACUAAAUCUGCUCAUAAGUUAUGGAUUAAACGGCUCAGGCGUACUUCGUCAUUGGCAGAACUUAUGCAGGUGGUUGCUGAUUUUGUUGGUGCCAUCAAUGAGGAUUGGUUUUGUAAUCUCCCAGAAGACCCUUCUGUUCGUAUUCUAGAUACUUUAGCGUCUUUUGCAUCCUUACCCCAAACAACCUCUGCUCUUGCGUUCUGGUUGGUUAAAUUGGAUGCCUUCCUUUAUUGCUAUGUGUGGAAGGACCUGAAAAGCUGCUAGAAGCUGCCCGCAGAGAACAUGUACAGAACAGAACUAACGACCUCUUGGUGAAGUUCCUAUUUGGCUUGAGUAAAAAAAGAGAAUUGUCGUAGGGUUUGAUCUAGUAGCUCAUUUGGAUAGCUGAGAGCACAGUUCGAUCUUGCACAUUUCAUUCAUUUCUACACAUCAAUUGUCAUACAAGUUCACAAUUUUACGUGAAAGAUGUAAAAAGUAGAGCCUAGAGAUAGAUGACAAUCCCAACCCUAUUUGAAGAAUUUGUACAGCUUACAUGCAAAACUAAACCAUAUGUCAGCACUUGACCAAAACAUUUUGUAGCUUGUUGGCUAAGUGGGGCAACCCUUGUUGGUGCAAGAGAAGAUAGGGAACAAAAACAGAUAUGGUUACAAUCCAAUGUGCGAGGUAAAAUAUUUUAAAACCAUAUGACCACGUUUAUCACUUGCAAUGGGAAGAAACGCAAUGCUCAUAUUAGGGGAUUUAAGACAGAUUUUUGGUGCAGCUGUCUUGAGCAUUAUUCAUUUAUAGAUUCAUUAAGUUUUGGCAUUGCCUUGGCCCAAGCAGUGAGCAAAUUGUUGUAGUGUUCAUGUGGCCAUAUCAUUGUAUGUAAUACAUAGACAAUUUCACCUCCAAUGAUUUAAAAUAGAGGUAAAGAAAUUUUUGCAAAUGUGUAUUUGCCACUUGCCUGGAGGACCCACUCAUAAUAAGAUAACCAAUCUGCUUCCCUUUGUGGUGUA